rnacentral:rRNA from 1 species
AGGUUCGAAGGCGAUCAGAUACCGCCCUAGUUCUGACCGUAAACGAUGCCAACCAGCGACCCGCCAGUGGCACUCUGCCCUGACGGGGAGCUUCCCGGAAACGAAAGUCUUCCGGUUCCGGGGGAAGUAUGGUUGCAAAGCUGAAACUUAAAGGAAUUGACGGAAGGGCACCACCAGGAGUGGAGCCUGCGGCUUAAUUUGACUCAACACGGGAAAACUCACCCGGCCCGGACACCGUAAGGAUUGACAGAUUGAGAGCUCUUUCUUGAUUCGGUGGUUGGUGGUGCAUGGCCGUUCUUAGUUGGUGGAGCGAUUUGUCUGAUUUAUUCCGAUAACGAACGGGACUCUAACCUACUAACUAGUGGCUGCAUUCUACCGGUGCAGUUCACUUCUUAGAGGGAUAAGUGAUGUUCAGUCACAUGAAAAGGAGCAAUAACAGGUCUGUGAUGCCCUUAGAUGUUCGGGGCUGCACGCGCGCUACACUGAAAGAAUCAGCAUGCUUAAACCAUUGUCGAAAGACAUUGGUAAACCGGUCAAAAUCUUUCGUGAUCGGGAUCGGGAAUUGCAAUUAUUUCCCUUGAACGAGGAAUUCCCAGUAAGUGUGAGUCAUUAGCUCGCGCUGAUUACGUCCCUGCCCUUUGUCCACACCGCCCGUCGCUGCCCGGGACUGGAUCGUUUCGAGAAAGGCGGGGACUGCCGCUGUUGGGGUUUUCGGACCUUGGCAUGUGGUGGAAACCGCUCUGAUCGCAGUGAUCUGAACCGGGCAAAAGUCGUAACAAGGUUUCCGUAGGUGAACCUGCAGAAGGAUCA